GUUGUGAAGAGAAUUGUCAAUCGAAGCUUGAAUAUGAAUGCUSYGGAARUUGGGCUUGCGCUCUUCUUUCUUGCGUUUCCCCUUUUGCUUUGGGUAGAAAGUCUCCGAUCCUGACCAACCUUUUAUGGAAAACAUAACAGAGACUUAAACAAUAAUAUGAUAUUGCCCAUAUUCAAUUAUUUAAACUCUGUUAGGUAUACAUAUUGACUUAUGUAUAUCUUCUUUCCCCCACAUAAGCUCAUUUAGUACAAUCUUUUGGAAUCAUGUGGUUUAGCCGGGGUGUAUAUUGUUAAAUUCAUUUUGAUAAAGACUUUCUUUUUUUAAGAAGUCAAACCAUAGUUAUGACAAUUAGUGUGUGUUUUAUUUCUUUUAUGCUUGCCAUACCAGAAAUAUAAAAAAACCGCGAGGUUGACCAUCACUUAAACCCAAUGGAGCUUACUUUUCCUUCACAA
rnacentral:RNase_MRP_RNA from 1 species